CCUACGGGAGGCAGCAGUGAGGAAUAUUGGUCAAUGGACGCAAGUCUGAACCAGCCAUGCCGCGUGCAGGAAGACGGCCCUAUGAGCUGUAAACUGCUUUUGUACGAGGGUAAAAGCAGAUACGCGUAUCUGUCUGAAAGUAUCGUACGAAUAAGGAUCGGCUAACUCCGUGCCAGCAGCCGCGGUAAUACGGAGGGUUCAAGCGUUAACCGGAUUUCUUGGGGUUAAAGGGUGCGUAGACGGUCGGGUAAGUCAGAGGUGAAAUCCCGAGGCUCAACUUCGGAAUUGCCUCUGAUACUGUUCGGCUAGAGAGUAGGUGCGGUAGGCGGAAUGUAUGGUGUAGCGGUGAAAUGCUUAGAGAUCA
rnacentral:rRNA from 1 species